rnacentral:rRNA from 1 species
AACGAACGCUGGCGGCGUGCCUAACACAUGCAAGUCGAACGCGAAAGUUCCUUCGGGAAUGAGUAGAGUGGCGCACGGGUGAGUAACACGUGGGUAACCUGCCCUAAGGCCUGGAAUAACUCGGGGAAACCCAAGCUAAUACCGGAUAAGACCACGUCAUGAGAAUGACGUGGUAAAAGGAGGGGAGUUCUUCGGAACCCUUUCACCAAAGGAUGAGCCCGCGUCCCAUCAGCUAGUUGGUAGGGUAAAAGCCUACCAAGGCUAAGACGGGUAGCUGGUCUGAGAGGAUGAUCAGCCACACUGGAACUGAGAUACGGUCCAGACUCCUACGGGAGGCAGCAGUGGGGAAUCUUGCGCAAUGGGCGAAAGCCUGACGCAGCAACGCCGUGUGAGUGAUGAAGGCCUUCGGGUCGUAAAGCUCUGUCGGCAGGAACGAUGGUUUGCCAGACUAAUAAUCUGGUAGAUUGACGGUACCUGCAAAGGAAGCACCGGCUAACUCUGUGCCAGCCGCCGCCGUAA